CCUACGGGCGGCUGCAGUGGGGAAUAUUGCACAAUGGGCGCAAGCCUGAUGCAGCCAUGCCGCGUGUGUGAAGAAGGCCUUCGGGUUGUAAAGCACUUUCAGCGGGGAGGAAGGCGUUAAGGUUAAUAACCUUGUCGAUUGACGUUACCCGCAGAAGAAGCACCGGCUAACUCCGUGCCAGCAGCCGCGGUAAUACGGAGGGUGCAAGCGUUAAUCGGAAUUACUGGGCGUAAAGCGCACGCAGGCGGUCUGUCAAGUCGGAUGUGAAAUCCCCGGGCUCAACCUGGGAACUGCAUUCGAAACUGGCAGGCUAGGGUCUUGUAGAGGGGGGUAGAAUUCCAGGUGUAGCGGUGAAAUGCGUAGAGAUCUGGAGGAAUACCGGUGGCGAAGGCGGCCCCCUGGACAAAGACUGACGCUCAGGUGCGAAAGCGUGGGGAGCAAACAGGAUUAGAUACCCCAGUAGUC
rnacentral:rRNA from 1 species